AGCCUAUCACACUCCUGUCCAAU
rnacentral:miRNA from 1 species